rnacentral:guide_RNA from 1 species
UUAUAAUACUGAAGGGGAGCAAUUCCCCGCAACUCGUAU